AAAUUUCAAAAAGGCCAGAGUGGGGUCCAUAGAAGAGCAGAAGCAAUGAGUUGGAAGGACUUCUGUGCACCUCUAUUAGUCCCACUGCAUGGAAUCCUUAGGGUGUCAUAAUGAGGGACUCCAAUGAAAGAAUGAAAGAAUCUCUGAAGUGUUGAUUGGCUGUUUCUGGAACUUGGCCCAAGUUCCUACUACAGAUGUACCAUGUCCACUUUUCUCAGAAUUCAAGUUUCCUGGUUGGUUUUUUUCUCAUCCAAGAAUCUAAGAAGAGUCCAUAAAGAAGGCUGACAACAAAUGAAUGGAGAAAACACAAGCCCCAAAGCCUGCAGCACAGCCAGGGACCCUCUGUGAGCUGAGUCUGUGAGUUAGGGACCAGCUCUCUUCUCCAUGAAGCCUGCCCUGAUUCUCCCCAGAGGGAAGGCUGGCCCCCUUUUCCAAACUCCCACUACAUUUUGUCCAAACGAUGUUGGAAGCCACUGGGACUCCCCAAGAACAAUAUCCAAGUUGAAGACACCUUUUGCCACCCCCGCCAGUGGACAUGGAAGGAGUGCCGCACACACCCGCCCUGAAUGCAGAAGCAGCAGGAAUUGAGGCAACGUUCUUGUAGGGGACAUAUCCUGAGACUUAUCCGGGGCUUAGAUUUGGUUGGAAGUGGGUGACCUGAAG
rnacentral:lncRNA from 1 species